rnacentral:lncRNA from 1 species
CAAGUGCAAACUUACUAAAUUAGAUAUAAGCGGUAAUGAUUUAACAGAUGAAGGUGCUGAAUAUUUAAGUGAUGCUCUGAUGAGUGACAAGUGCAAACUUACUAAAUUAAGGUAUGAUGAGUUACUAUAUUAACACAUGAAGGUGCUAAACAUUUACGUGAUGUCAAGAACAAUGAGAACUGCAAACUUACUAAAUUAUUCUGAAUUAAGAACGAGGAAGUGGAAUAUGAACUGAAAACAUGGCUGCAUUUAGAGUUGCACAGCAGAAAUUAAUUUGAGUUAUAUUGAUUGUUUAUAAAACGUAUAAGAAAAUAGGAAUUGAAAACUUAGAAUUGCUAAAACUUUGAGUGCAUAGCAGAGGUUUGAGGAAAUGAAAUGCAGGAUUAAAAUGUUGGAUUAUAUGACAUUGAAACAUGGUUCAUGGUUGUAUUUAGAGUUGAAUAGUAUAGAGGUUCGAGCAAAUGAAAUUUUGGAUUAUUUGUCAUUGAAACAUGGUUGUAUUUGGAGUUGCAGUUAUUCAGAAGUUUGAAUAGUUGGUUUACACGCAGGAAAAUAUGAACUCGAAACAUUGUUGUACGUGUAUUUAGAGUUGUAAUUUAGGAGUUUGAGUCCGGGGCGUAGGAAACUCAAUUUGGGUCUCUUUGGCGACCAUUGUGCCAAAGAGACCACUCAACUAGCGGGGUUUAUAAAGUUUUGCCUUCCACAUGGAGAAAAUUUUGAAAUCUAGACCCUCUGAAAUGGCAUUUCCAUGCGUCCAUUUUUGCGCGCUUUUAAGUAAAGCAGCAGGCGGGCAACAAAGGAAUAACACUGGAUUGCACUUAAAAUUUACAAUUUUACAACAUUCUUUACUCCGAAAUGCAACAUGC